GCUGGCGGCGUGCUUAACACAUGCAAGUCGAACGCGCAGCAUUCUGUAGCAAUACAGGGUGUGGGCGCGUGGCGAACGGGUGCGUAACACGUGGAUAACCUUCCUUGAGGUGGGGAAUAACCCAGUGAAAAUUGGGCUAAUACCGCAUAACAUCGCGAUGGCACAUGCUGAUGCGAUCAAAGGCGCAAGUCGCCACAAGAGGGAUCCGCGGCCGAUUAGCUUGUUGGCGAGGUAAUGGCUCACCAAGGCAAUGAUCGGUAGCCGGACUGAGAGGUUGGCCGGCCACACUGGAACUGAGACACGGUCCAGACUCCUACGGGAGGCAGCAGUGGGGAAUCUUGCACAAUGGACGAAAGUCUGAUGCAGCAACGCCGCGUGGGGGAUGAAGCUUCUCGGAGUGUAAACCCCUUUCGACCCGGAAGAAUGCCCGCAAGGGUAUGACGGUACGGGUAUAAGAAGCCCCGGC
rnacentral:rRNA from 1 species